UACGUAGGGGGCAAGCGUUGUCCGGAAUCAUUGGGCGUAAAGCGCGUGUAGGCGGCUGGCUAAGUCCGCUCUGAAAGCCCGGGGCUCAACCCCGGGAGGCGGGUGGAUACUGGUCAGCUCGAGUCCGGAAGAGGAGUGUGGAAUUCCUGGUGUAGCGGUGAAAUGCGCAGAUAUCAGGAGGAACACCGGUGGCGAAGGCGGAUCUCUGGGCCGAUACUGACGCUGAGGAGCGAAAGCGUGGGGAGCGAACAGG
rnacentral:rRNA from 1 species